rnacentral:rRNA from 1 species
GACGAACGCUGGCGGCGUGCCUAAUACAUGCAAGUUGAGCGCUUAAGGUUGGUACUUGUCCCAACUGGAUGAGCAGCGAACGGGUGAGUAACGCGUGGGGAAUCUGCCUUUGAGCGGGGGACAACAUUUGGAAACGAAUGCUAAUACCGCAUAAAAACUUUAAACACAAGUUUUAAGUUUGAAAGAUGCAAUUGCAUCACUCAAAGAUGAUCCCGCGUUGUAUUAGCUAGUUGGUGAGGUAAAGGCUCACCAAGGCGAUGAUACAUAGCCGACCUGAGAGGGUGAUCGGCCACAUUGGGACUGAGACACGGCCCAAACUCCUACGGGAGGCAGCAGUAGGGAAUCUUCGGCAAUGGACGAAAGUCUGACCGAGCAACGCCGCGUGAGUGAAGAAGGUUUUCGGAUCGUAAAACUCGGUUGGUAGAGAAGAACGUUGGUGAGAGUGGAAAGCUCAUCAAGUGACGGUAACUACCCAGAAAGGGACGGCUAACUACGUG